GCGUGCCUAAUACAUGCAAGUCGAACGCACAGCGAAAGGUGCUUGCACCUUUCAAGUGAGUGGCGAACGGGUGAGUAACACGUGGAUAACCUACCUUAAGGUUGGGGAUAACAUUUGGAAACAGAUGCUAAUACCGAAUAAAACUUCGUAUCGCAUGAUACAAGGUUAAAAGGCGCUACGGCGUCACCUAGAGAUGGAUCCGCGGUGCAUUAGUUAGUUGGUGGGGUAAAGGCCUACCAAGACAAUGAUGCAUAGCCGAGUUGAGAGACUGAUCGGCCACAUUGGGACUGAGACACGGCCCAAACUCCUACGGGAGGCUGCAGUAGGGAAUCUUCCACAAUGGGCGAAAGCCUGAUGGAGCAACGCCGCGUGUGUGAUGAAGGCUUUCGGGUCGUAAAGCACUGUUGUAUGGGAAGAACAGCUAGAGUAGGGAAUGACUUUAGUUUGACGGUACCAUACCAGAAAGGGACGGCUAAAUACGUGCCAGCAGCCGCGGUAAUACGUAUGUCCCGAGCGUUAUCCGGAUUUAUUGGGCGUAAAGCGAGCGCAGACGGUUGAUUAAGUCUGAUGUGAAAGCCCGGAGCUCAACUCCGGAAAGGCAUUGGAAACUGGUCAACUUGAGUGCAGUAGAGGUAAGUGGAACUCCAUGUGUAGCGGUGGAAUGCGUAGAUAUAUGGAAGAACACCAGCGGCGAAGGCGGCUUACUGGACUGUAACUGACGUUGAGGCUCGAAAGUGUGGGUAGCAAACAGGAUUAGAUACCCUGGUAGUCCACACCGUAAACGAUGAACACUAGGUGUUAGGAGGUUUCCGCCUCUUAGUGCCGAAGCUAACGCAUUUAGUGUUCCGCCUGGG
rnacentral:rRNA from 1 species